AUAAUUACCUGGACGGGGUCGACGGCCGAUCAAGAAGGGUCUUGGCCUAGAUCAAUGGCUCACAUUGCGAUUGGUGAGCGCAUUGGUCUACCAUCUCUCUAAGUGGGAGGGUAAACGUCAUAAUUUGUUGUAGAGGGGGUACGCGUUCGCGCGGCCCCUG
rnacentral:snRNA from 1 species